AAUUAUUAAAUAGCCGCGGUAUCUUGACCGUGCAAAGGUAGCAUAAUCAUUAGUUUUUUAAUUGAAAACUUGUAUGAAUGGUUGGACAAAGAACAAACUGUCUCUUUUGUUUUUAUUGAAUUUAACUUUUAAGUGAAAAGGCUUAAAUAUUCUAGAGGGACGAUAAGACCCUAUAAAGCAUUUGGUUGGGGCGACAGUGGUAUAAGUUGUAACUGCUAUAGUGUUUAACAAAAAUAUUUGAAUUGAUCCUUUAUAAGGAUUUUAAGAUCAAGUUACUUUAGGGAUAACAGCGUUAUUUUUUCUGAGAGUUCUUAUCAAAGAAAAAGUUUGCGACCUCGAUGUUGAAUUAAAAUGUCUUUAUAGUGCAGCAGCUAUAAAAGAA
rnacentral:rRNA from 1 species